GCUGGACGCGGUGGUGCAUGCCUGUAAUCCCAGCAGCUAGGAGGCUGAGGCAGGAGGAUCACGAGUUCAAAGGCAGCCUCAGCAGAUUAGUGAGGCACUUAGCAACUCAGUAAGACCCCUUCUCUA
rnacentral:sRNA from 1 species